ensembl:lncRNA
AUCAUGGCCUACAGGCAGUGUUCUAAUUGAGGGGGCUCAUGCACACCAGAAGGCAUCUAGGUGUGCACUGCAGCUUCUUUCAGUGGUUGUUUUGAGGGGGGGUUCUCCCAUCAGUCUCCUCUUCAGGAGCUGAAGUACAUGCACAGAUGGGUUAAGCUCUGGCACCCCUUUUACUCGAUUAUCACAAGAUGUGAGGGGGAGAUGAAAAAGAUGGCGGCCCUUCAUGUUGCCAGCUGAACAGGAAGAUCCUCUUGCUUUGGCUCGUCUUAUUGUCAACAGCAAUUCAUUCAUUCAGUGAUACCAACUAACAUUGCACGUUUCCAGAUUGACAGUGAUGUACUGCACACACAUACAUG